rnacentral:rRNA from 1 species
UAUGUAGGGUGCGAGCGUUGUCCGGAUUUAUUGGGCGUAAAGAGCGUGUAGGCGGCCAUACAGGUCAGCUGUGAAAACUCGAGGCUCAACCUCGAGACGUCGGUUGAAACCGUAUGGCUAGAGUCCGGAAGAGGAGAGUGGAAUUCCCGGUGUAGCGGUGAAAUGCGCAGAUAUCGGGAAGAACACCCGUGGCGAAGGCGGCUCUCUGGGACGGUACUGACGCUGAGACGCGAAAGCGUGGGGAGCGAACAGG